GCCCUCCAUCUGGAAGAAUCUGGAGACAGGUGCUGCAUGGCUGUCGUCAGCUCGUGUCGUGAGAUGUUGGGUUAAGUCCCGCAACGAGCGCAACCCUUGCCUUUAGUUGCCAGCAGUUCGGCUGGGCACUCUAAAGGGACUGCCGGUGUUAAACCGGAGGAAGGUGGGGAUGACGUCAAGUCCUCAUGGCCUUUAUGACCAGGGCUACACACGUACUACAAUGGCCGAUACAAAGGGCAGCGACACUGCGAGGUGAAGCCAAUCCCGUAAAAUCGGUCUCAGUCCGGAUUGGAGUCUGCAACUCGACUCCAUGAAGUUGGAAUCGCUAGUAAUCGUGGAUCAGCAUGCCACGGUGAAUACGUUCCCGGGCCUU
rnacentral:rRNA from 1 species